AGCUAGUUGCGGGUAUUAGCUUAGUGAUUAUUCUACAAAAUAAGACACGUAGCCGCACCAAAGUGUGCCACGUGCCCUCAAUAUUCCACCGCCUCUUCUUUUCUUGGCUCCCCCGUCUCUUUUCCUUCUUUUAAAUCUGCAUAAUUCUCAGUCCCUCUCCCUCAAAUAUCUCUCGCCUCUCUCAGUCUCUUCCCAUUUUGUCAACCUUAAUCUUUCCCUUCGCUUCUCUUCCCUCUCUUCCUUUGUUUUUAUCUUUUACUCCCCAGCUGCCAUUGUUCUUUUGUCUAGCCGGAACCGCCUUGCUGUCUCUGAUGAUGGACUCCACCCUGCACUUGAUGUUCGAUUACAGUGGAAUUGAACGAGACGUUGAUCAAGAAGUGAUUGAAGUGGGUAUUCAGAAAUAGCUAAGUUGUGUUGCAAGUUGAAGUUACGCAGAGAUUUGCUAUAUAGAUGGAAUCUUGUCAGAAGUUAGUAGAAAGGAAUGAUAAGGCACUACAUAGUGUUAAUCGAAACCCGAGCUAGACACCAGAAUUAAGCUAGGGAUAAAGAUGAUUCACUUAAGACUGCGCGUAAGGGUAAUGAUAGGCAAGGAUUGUAAGUGGUCGAGUUUCAGGCAAGUAGAAUAUCCAGAAAGAUGUCUUUAAGGCUGGUUGUAGUUGGAGUUGUGCAAUUCAGUUCAGUUGGAAACUAGAUUUCUUUCUUUGGUUAUCAGUUACUCUUCUUAUCGAGGUUUAGCUGAUAAUGUAGUUUAAAUUGUAAUUAUAUUUGAUAGUUUUAGUUUCUGAUUUCAAUGCUGUAACCUGUAUGAGAUCCUGUUUUUA